ACACCACUUAAGCUCAGCUUAGUGUUGGGAAUCUACGCGGGGGCAGCUACCCGGGACUUACCCUGUAGCUACCCUGUAGUUCCUCAAAGAUAGCGGCGGAGUUGUGAUAAACCUCUGAGCUUAGUAGUAAUAUUCUAGCUUUCGAGUAGUCACUUCCCUUGCCGUUAAACACCCUUCUUUCUGAAU
rnacentral:misc_RNA from 2 species